rnacentral:ncRNA from 1 species
ACAGUACAAACUGAGCAGGCCGUGACAGCAAUGUUAUGGAGUCGGGUCACCUAAGUGACAGUGGAAUCUUUCAUCCACGGGACAGU